rnacentral:rRNA from 1 species
GACGAACGCUGGCGGCAUGCCUAACACAUGCAAGUCGAACGAGAUCUUCGGAUCUAGUGGCGCACGGGUGCGUAACGCGUGGGAAUCUGCCCUUGGGUUCGGAAUAACAGUUAGAAAUGACUGCUAAUACCGGAUGAUGUCUUCGGACCAAAGAUUUAUCGCCCAAGGAUGAGCCCGCGUAGGAUUAGGUAGUUGGUGGGGUAAUGGCCCACCAAGCCGACGAUCCUUAGCUGGUCUGAGAGGAUGAUCAGCCACACUGGGACUGAGACACGGCCCAGACUCCUACGGGAGGCAGCAGUGGGGAAUAUUGGACAAUGGGCGAAAGCCUGAUCCAGCAAUGCCGCGUGAGUGAUGAAGGCCUUAGGGUUGUAAAGCUCUUUUACCAGGGAUGAUAAUGACAGUACCUGAAGAAUAAGCUCCGGCUAACUCCGUGCCAGCCGCCGCCGUAA